GAUGAACGCUGGCGGCGUGCCUAAUACAUGCAAGUCGAGCGAACGGACGAGAAGCUUGCUUCUCUGAUGUUAGCGGCGGACGGGUGAGUAACACGUGGAUAACCUACCUAUAUGACUUGGAUAACUUCGGGAAACCGGAGCUCAUACCGGAUAAUAUUUUGAACCGCAUGGUUCAAAAGUGUAAGACGGUCUUGCUGUCACUUAUAGAUGGAUCCGCGCUGCAUUAGCUAGUUGGUAAGGUAACGGCUUACCAAGGCAACGAUGCAUAGCCGACCUGAGAGGGUGAUCGGCCACACUGGGACUGAGACACGGUCCAGACUCCUACGGGAGGCAGAAGUAGGGAAUCUUCCGCAAUGGGCGAAAGACUGACGGAGCAACGCCGCGUGAGUGAUGAAGGUCUUCGGAUCGUAAAACUCUGUUAUUAGGGAAGAACAUAUGUGUAAGUAACUGUGCACAUCUUGACGGUACAGAAGCAGAAAGCCAAGGCUAAAUACGUG
rnacentral:rRNA from 1 species